rnacentral:rRNA from 1 species
CGCGAUUCGCCCUUCGGGGUGCAGCAGGCGCGAAAACUUUGCAAUAAGCGAAAGCUUGACAGGGCUAUCCCGAGUGCCAUCCGCUGAGGAAGGCUUUUACCCAGUCUAGAACGCUGGGGGAAUAAGGAGAGGGCAAGUCUGGUGUCAGCCGCCGCGGUAAUACCAGCUCUCCGAGUGGUGUGGAUGUUUAUUGGGCCUAAAGCAUCCGUAGCUGGCUAGGUUAGUCCCCUGUUAAAUCCACCGAAUUAAUCGUUGGAUUGCGGGGGAUACUGCUUGGCUAGGGGACGAGAGAGGCAGACGAUAUUUCCGGGGUAGGGGUGAAAUCCUAUAAUCCCGGGAAGACCACCAGUGGCGAAGGCUGUCUGCUAGAACGCGCCCGACGGUGAGGGAUGAAAGCUGGGGGAGCGAACCGGAUUAGAUACCCGGGUAGUCCCAGCUGUAAACGAUGCAGACUAGGUGUUUGAACGGCCACGUGCCGUUCUAGUGCCGCAGGGAAGCCGUUAAGUCUGCCGCCUGGGGAGUACGAUCGCAAGAUUGAAACUUAAAGGAAUUGGCGGGGGAGCAC